CAUAUUAUAUUUAAAUACAGAUACAAUGACCGUGCGACUUUAAUAUAAAUCUAACAUUCAAAGUUAGAAUAAAUAAAACAUUAACAAUAUACAAACUUUUAAACUGUCAGGUCAAAACGUUUCCAUUAAAAACAAAAUAACACGUCAACAACAAAUCUAUGGAUCACACCGAGCAUCUAAUGACAGCGACGUCUGAGCCAGCGGAUCAUUUCAUCAGGACAGGCCGAGGUCACGCUGCUCUGUGCCGGGCACAGUGAGCGCCGAGCGUCCGCAGAGGCGGAGCUUAUCACCUCCGACAAACGUCGCUGCCAAACUAUAAAUACGUCAUAUCUUCAUACACAAACCACAUGUUUGAUUUCUAAAUGACUCAUUUCUCGCCUCAAAUGAUGUUAAAACUUUGUUCCGGGACACAGAAAAAUAUUUAUUUCAGAUUUAUAUUUCUAUUACUUGCUGCUAUGCUCCGCCCAAAUGAAUUCUGGGAUACAUGGCCAUCGCAAGUACACUUAAGUUUUUUUUACUUGGUAAAAAUGGGCGGAGCGAGGACACUUCUGGGUUUGAGAACCGUCCUCGCUGUUCGCUUACUUGAGAAUUGGAACAGCACUUGGACUGAGGCUGAUGACGUUUUCACAAGUACGGGAGUACGCAAGUACGCACAAGUACGCACAAGUAUGGAUAUUGAGAAACGGCCAGACUCUCUAGCAGUGAUUGGAUACUUACUAGUUUGAGCCACGGCAGUGCUCUGCAGAUCAGCAGAGCCACACCCGGGAUUGUUAACGGUUAAAAACCUUUUUUAACCCACAAUGGCCGAAGGAGAGCUACGCGUUGAUUUGGUUGCUGAUAUACUGGCAAGGCCAUUUUCAAGAAGAACUUUUCAAGAGAAGCUAGAUCUCGUGAGAGGAGGACGGCCGACCCCUGAGCUAGCUAACCUGUCCCAGCCGGGGAAGGGUUCAUUGUCCUGGUAACUGUCAGGUGUGCUGCAGUUCCACCCAAUCUCCGUGGGAGACUGCCACAUAAAGGCGGGCGUAAAGCACCUGUCAGCCCCUUGCUUGCUGGAGGCUGGGUCGCGUCACUCCUGUGCUUCCUCCAUUUCCGCGUCCGGGUGGUUACAGGUGGGCUGCCGGCUGCACUUCUCACGUAUGUCGCCCAUCCAGUGCUAAUGUUAUUGUUUUAUAAAGGUCCACCUGGGUGUUGCUGCUGGCUGCGCGCUGUGUGCCGCGCUGUGUGCCGCUCUGUGUGCCGCUCACUGUCCGCUGCUGGUCGCUCUCGGGGAGCGUGAUUCCUCCGUCCCACGCUGUGUUGGCCGGGAUCGCCUGACCGGACGACUGACCGUAACGGCGCAGCGCCGACUAAUCCGCUCCUAGAACCGCUGCUGCUUUGCUUCCGCUUUGUCUCUUCACUUCUUUGCCUCAGUUAAAGAGAUCAUUUGGACUGAUUGCUGUGCCUCAUUGGAACGGUGUGUUUGCGGAACUGAUCGCCUCGCUUGCGUCGGCAUUCGCCGCGCCGCCAGGUUGCUUGGUAACGCUGUCUCCGAUUGUUGGCACAGCCUCAUCUUAAACCAGUGUGUGUGUGUGUGUGUGUGUGUGUGUGUGUACUUGCAUGAGAGGACAGUGUGGGAAUAUACAUUUGAUUUUGUUCCUUUCUGGUAAUUUCUUUGAUUUCGUUUGUAAUUUGUUUUGCUGUAACCCAUAAUUACAAUUAUUCUGUUAGUUUUGGGUUAUUAUGGGUUGCUUUCCAGUUGCUUUUAUAUAUAAUUUUGUUUAUUUGUCAUUGGGUUUAAUUAUUAUAAUUCCUGUACAAUUAAUUCUUUGAUUUCUCUUUUGUUAUUAGUUAUUGUUUUGUUUCAUUAUUUGUUAUUUUCUAAUUGGUUGCUUUCUGGUCGCCCCCAUUCAGGUGCUGAGCCUACGGUGGUGGAUUGGUGUCCUGGUCACGGUGUCCCCUUUUUGUUGUGUUAGCACUUUGUAGCUUCUUUGUUUUGUUUACUUUUAUUUGCUUCACGUGUGGUGUUCCUGGGAUCCCCUUUUCUUUUGGAUACGGUUUAUCGCUGUAGGUCUCAGCACUGAUUGGUUCCCCUUAUAUGUCCCCUUACCUUGAAAAACUGCAGGCCCUGGGUGUAAGGGCAAUGCUCUUGACAGCAAACACCUGGGUGUCCGAGGUGUUACUGCCCCGUUGCCACUUGUCGGCGAACGCUACUACAUGUGUGGACAGAAUGCGGG